AGAAACAAUAGACCAUGUUUUAUUUCUCAUGAGAGCGUCAUAUUCAUUUUUCAUGGUUUGCUGUCAGCAUAGGUGUUGAACAGCUUGAUUGUAAGUGUGUGGCUCAAUGGUUGGAGUAGAGGAUAUGGUGGUAGAGAAUAUCUUGGGCUUGAGUGAGUUGGUGCAUGCCCUAUUGACCAUAGGAUGUGUAUUGUUAUUAGUAGGCCGAAAAUAAGAUGUGGAGGAUUGAGUAUGUUUGGCACGGGAGCUUAUAGUGGGUUGCUAAUAUGAGGGAGUAGUGGGAGGUGAGGAAGGAACAGAUGAGGAAAAUUGGUUGGAGGAAUGAGGAGGGGAGGGUGGUAGAUGUGAUAAAGGCAAGGC
rnacentral:lncRNA from 1 species